rnacentral:rRNA from 1 species
AUGAAAUCGCCAUUGCGCAAGUUUCGGGGCCUCGCCCUCCCCCACCACCACAAGGAGAAGAAGGACCAACGGCCGCCGCCCGCCAAGCUCGACAACCUCGUCGACGCCGCCCAGGAGAUGGAGGAAAUGAGAACUUGUUAUGAUAGCUUGCUUUCGGCUGCAGCUGCAACAACAAAUAGUGUAUAUGAGUUUGCAGAAGCUAUGGAAGAAAUGGGAACUUGCUUACUUGAGAAAACUGCAUUGGAUUGCGAUGAUGAUGACAGUGGCAGGGUGCUGAUGAUGCUAGGAAAGGCUCAAUUUGAACUACAAAAGUUUGUGGAUAACUAUCGUACAAAUAUCAUAAAUACAAUCACAAACCCUUCAGAGUCUCUUCUCAAGGAGCUACAAGUUGUAGAGGACAUGAAGGACCACUGUGAUCAGAAAAGAGAGGAAUAUGAAACCAUGCGGUCAGCCUACAAAGAUAAAGGACGAUCAAGGCAUCCCAAAACUGAAACAUUCUCCCCAGAACAAUUGCAAGCGUCCUAUCUCGAGUACCAAGAAGAUGCAACAUUAUUCAUAUUUCGCUUGAAAUCAUUGAAGCAAGGUCAAUUCUUGAGUAUUUUAACACAGGCUGCUCGCCAUCAUGCUGCUCAGUUGAGUUUUUUCAGGAAAGGGUUGAAGUAUCUAGAGGCUCUAGAACCUCAUGUAAAAGCAGUUGCUGAGAAGCAGCACAUUGAUUAUCACUUCAGUGGACUAGAUGAUGACACUGAUAAUGAUGAUUACAGCUCUUACCAGGACAAUCAUAGUGAGGGCAGUGAGUUGAGUUUUGACUACGGGAUAAACUUUCCUGCUUCCAGAAGUUCAAUGGAUUUGGAUCAGUCUAAUAUGGCAAGUCCCACGAAACCUCUGAAGGAACAUGAGCAGGAACAUGCCAAACAAAUAGAGACUGAUUUUGCAGCUCCUCGAGUGAAGCCUGAGUUUGGUACUCAAUCAGCACCAAUUUUUGCUGAUAAUGUGCUUGAUCCAUCUGUGAGGCUUCGCAAGUUGAAUUCUCCAAUGUUCUCGAGCCCACUACAGUCAAGUAGAACAAAUUAUUCCUACAAACUCCCGACACCAGCUGAUGAUAAAAUCUGCACUUCAGCAGGCACCAACAGAUCACCUCAUUCAGAUAAACCAGAGAGUUCACAUGUGGCAGCAAAUUUGUGGCAUUCCUCUCCGCUCGUGAAAGAUUAUAUGCCGAGCUCCUUGUAUAGCGGGCCUGUUAAGAUGCCAUCAAGUACUGAGAGGAGAUCAUCACCAUUAGUUUAUUCCUACUCCACUUCAGAUUCCAAGAAAAUGAAGAGGGAAUCUUUUUCUGGCCCAAUUCCUAGUAAAGCAGGGUUAAGCAAACCCUUGUUUUCAGCUGCUGGUCACAGAGCAUCAGUAAAUUAUCCUCCUCGUGUUAUGUCAACAAAAUCACACGGACCAGGUUCUCUUCCAUCUGUGGCUCCAAAAGUCCCUAGGAUAACUUCACUGCCAACAACAUCCCCCAGAAUUAGUGAGCUUCAUGAGCUGCCUAGGCCUCCUGCACCUUUAGACACUCUCCGGCCUGGUUUGGUUGGAUAUUCUGGUCCUUUGGUAUCAAGGCGGCAAAUUCCUAACGUACCAACCCGUGCCUCCCCACCGUCAAAUACAGCAUCACCGCUUCCACGGCCACCUGCUGCCAUGACUCGCAGCUAUUCUAUACCUUCAAACAGCCAAAGAACACCUAUUAUUACUGUGAAUAAGUUGUUGGAGUCUAGGCAUAGCAGAGAGAGCAGCGAAGUUUCCUCGCCCCCACUAACACCUAUAUCUUUGGCAGAUGUCUCCCGCAGAUCAAUAGCAGAAACAACUAUAGACACCAGAAGGAUGAAGGAAACCUCGUGA